UUUUAUUGACACCUUCAUUCUUUGUUGCCCUUACUUUUCUUUGUGGUUUUUCUGCUGGUCCCUUCUCUGCAUUUGCUCCUCCCUCAGGGUCGACAAUAUGAAUACAGAUAUCUUCUUCAUCUUCUUUUAUAGGUUGUAGCCUUGGAGAUUUCCUCACAGAAGGUGCAGCAGCCAGCUUUUCCUUGCCAUCUUUUUCAUGUGUGGAAAUUGUUUCAGCUGUUUAUAAAAACAAACAGUGUUAGACGUAAGAAAUCUGGAUAGCACUAUUUAUUAUACAAUAUAAAAAAUAUUGUUGUAAUUGAAGUUUACAUGCAGGCGGUGUCUGUUGGUUGGGUUCUUGCUGCUCCUGUGAGCUCUAUGGAGUGUAUAAAACUAAUGAACGAAUAGGUUCACACAGUACCACCAUCUCAGGCUCUUCUUCGUUUUUAGAUAGUUUUUCAAUUUCUUCCGC
rnacentral:lncRNA from 1 species